rnacentral:rRNA from 1 species
AUUGAACGCUGGCGGCAGGCCUAACACAUGCAAGUCGAGCGAGCGGCGGACGGGGGAGAAAUGUCUGGGAAACUGCCUGAUGGAGGGGGAUAACUACUGGAAACGGUAGCUAAUACCGCGUACCAUCAGAGGUGCCCAGGUGGGAUUAGCGAGUAGGUGGGGUAACGGCUCACCUAGGCGACGAUCCCUAGCUGGUCUGUGAGGAUGACCAGCCACACUGGAACUGAGACACGGUCCAGACUCCUACGUGAGGCAGCAGUGGGGAAUAUUGCACAAUGGGCGCAAGCCUGAUGCAGCCAUGCCGCGUGUGUGAAGAAGGCCUUCGGGUUGUAAAGCACUUUCAGCGGGGAGGCGUUACCCGCAGAAGAAGCACCGGCUAACUCCGUGCCAGCAGCCGCGGUAAUUC